GUGUUGCGUCAGCAAUACACACAAUAAAAUUGGAACGAUACAGAGAAGAUUAGCAUGGCCCCUGCGCAAGGAUGACACGCAAACUCGUGGAGCGUUCCAGAUUUUA